AUCUUCCUUCCAAUGAGGAGGGAAAGGGAGCCAUUUAUCACAAUUUCUUCAAUAUGGAUCCUCAUAAAUGUGACUUAUACCAGUACCUCCUCAGGCUAUUGUUCCAUCCAUUUGUGCUGCAGAUGGCUUUCAUAUGGUCUUAGUCUGACAAAGCUAGGUGCUAAGAAAGAACAGCUUUGAAGUGCAAUAGUUAUUGAUGCACAUGUCUCUGAAGAUAACUUCCAACAAGGCCCUAAAUACACUUCCAAUACGCCUGAGAUGAUUUCAGUCAAAUUUAAGCGCAGGUAGGCUAUCCAAUGUUCAAUGCAUGUGUUAAGUGCUUUGAGGCACCUUAGGCUUAGCUUCGUUCUUUCUUAGAGUUGUCGAACUAUAGUCUCCAGUGCUCCCCUCGCCUAUAUCAGUUGUCUACCCCUGUACUCUUGACUCCCUCUGUCUUUCAUUCAUCCAGGUUACGCCAAUGUUCUGCGCAUACAGUUGCUGCUUUUUGGUGCGCACACACCCCAGGCACUCCACCUCGUCAACGCCUGAGAAGUUGGUGAAAGUGCCUCCUGCCAGACUUGCUGGAUGGCUACUACCUGCACUUGCUAGCUGAACGGAAGCUCUUCCAACUAGCUGGCAUGGCUAUCGGCGGCUUACGCGUGGGACGCUGCAGACGCAAUCAUCGCCAGCCUCACACAUGUCGAAAAUCAGGCAGACUACAUCAGCUGCUCACUGAUAUGGGCCAAAGAAGGCUCGUUGCUGGCGGUGGUUCUGGAGACAACGGUUCGAUCCAUCUGUAGGACGUCACUCGGCAAGAAGUUGUGGAGUGUGAUGGUCAUCCACGCGGCGCGCGUAUCCAGUCACGUUGUCCAGAAACGAUCACAUUAUCUCCAGGUCACUCCGUGACUUGCCGGCGCUCGAGCUGACGGUGUCGCCCGAACGAAGGUUUCACGGCGACAAGUGCUGCCACCGCCUGAGACCAUCCGACUCCGAAAUGCUGAUUGCCGGGCACGAACAAGAGGCUACAGGCAUUUGGGUGCAACACCUGCUCCGAGUGCCCUGUUCUGAGGCGUCAUCCGAAGAAGGCCGCAUAGUGCACUUAAGGCUGUGUUCGGGUGUAGUGCACUGCACUGUCGGAUAGGAUUAAAUGGCAGGCCCGUCAUAAGAUCUCAGUACGAAAUUAAGAUAGUCAGAGCCGACGUGAUCGGUGGAUGGUGUGCCAGGGUUGAUUGAGCGUCCAUGAGCGUGAGACACCUGGAUCUGUGAAGGAUACGCCGAUACGUGUCCCGGAUUCGACCCCCCUCUCCCUCCGUCUCAACGGUGUUGGCUGAGAUUGGGGUAUUUUUACGGACUCGCCAAUGUCCUGCAAUUUCUGUUAUGUAAUUUGACGAUCAUGCCGUGGUCUCAUUCUGUCUCGAUAUGCUAAUAAAUGAUAAAUGUAACAGAGGUUGGAAGUAAGGUGUGAGUGGCUGUAACCGGCAGGUUUUGGCGAGCGUGAUAUUUGUAUCGUGAGGGCGCUAGCAGCUGCAAUCAAUCGCGCGUUUUUGCUGAGCAUCCGUGAGCGAGAAAAUGCCUUUUCUGGAACCUAGCAGUUCAGCGUGAAAUCUGUGUAUCUUUGGAUUAUGUUAUCAUAACGUAAUGUAUUUUUGGUGUCCACUGCAGCUUCGGAACAUAAAUAUGGAGAUUGGCUGUUUGCUGAAGCAAGGGUAAGCAAUCCGUGCCAAGAAUAAUGUGAAUUUAAGUGUGUAUUUCGCUGUGUUUUCCAAUUGUGUUACACAAAACACAGAAAUGCGUCAACUACUGAUAACACCCGGCUACAAAUACUAAAAUGCUUGCAAUGCUAUACAAGAAUAGA